UGGAACUUCCAUGAAAUUAGAAGUUCUAAACCAUGCCCACAAGCUAAUUGCUAAAAUGUUCAAAUGAAGAACUUUUCCAAAAAUCUUGUUUCCUUAUAUUUUAUUUUUAACAUCUUUGGUUGCUCAAAUUUGACUUGAGAUACUGAUCAAGAAUAUGGUUAGUAAGGGUUAUGUUCAUUAUGUCACUAGAUAUCAUCGAAUUCUUUUCCCAGAUGUAUAGAUACUUUGUCAAGUGAACCUUUAAUCAAUUAUUUUGAGAGUUGAUGGAUGUAAUCUUUGUUACCAAUAUGAAUGUUAAUAAUUAUUAUUAUAUUUUAAUGAUGUAAAUUCUUUUUAAACCAGAGAGUUGAGGGAUAUACUCUAGAGGAAUAGACGAAUACAGAAUGCCUAGACGAAGAUGGCGGUUUUGUGCAUGCUUAGCUACUAGUUUUUCUACAUACCAUCACUACAUGCUUGUUCAUUUUAUUUAUCAGUUAUCACACUACAACAAAUUAUCAGAAGAUAUGAUAGUUAAAAUCAGAAGAUAACAACUCAACCUGACAAUGGACAUGUUAUAAAUAUACAAAUUUGAGCUUUUGCCAAAACAUGGAUUGGAUUUUUUUAUUUAUAAAAUAAUAUUCAAUUAAAAUGAUUAAUCAGAUUUUUUUCAUUUCCUAAUUUUCCCCAGAUUUCACCCUUCAUUAUUUUCCAAAUUUGCCAACAAGUUCAGUUUUUGGGAUGUUUUCUAAAUCAUUUCAUUAGCAUUCUCAAUUUCCUUCUGUAGUUUACGAUUUUAUAGAUAAAGUUUACACCUUUGCUGUAGGUUAGUUUGUAGAUAAGUGUUCACCAUUUUUGUUAUCAUUGAAUUGCAGCAAUAGUGCAUAUAGUACAUGUAUAUUUAUUUGAAUUUGUAAGGGUAUUGUUAGUUUGGGGUUCUGGAUACAAAAAAACCUAUCCCAUAAUCUGUUAAUAACAUUUUGUGGGGAACUUUGAAGAAGUUCAGUUUGAGGUAAAAAAAGUCUGAAAUUUGUAACUUGUUUUGGUAGUUGCUAUUAUUUUGAGACCAAAAUAGUAUAGUUGGCUACUUAUUGGAUAGCCUUGUAUGGGCAAAAAUGAGGGCUGGGCGCAGCCUAGUGGCAUAUUUCCAAAUGGGCUUUUGCCCAAUGCACGUUCAUUGACAAUGGACAUGUUCAUUUUAUCAUGUUAUUGAUUAACACCUGACAAAAAAUGGAAACAUUAUAAAAGGUUAACACCUGCCCAGUCAGAAUGCAGUUUUCUCUCAUCUGUUGUAUGUUAUAUGUAUUGUAGUCUAUAAAGUCUAAUUUGUUCUUUAUUGUUCAAACUAUUUAACAACUGUUUGAAGUUAAUUUAAUUUGUAUGGUUGAAUUAUUAUGCUAUGUUGAUAUUUUU
rnacentral:lncRNA from 1 species